rnacentral:lncRNA from 1 species
GUUUGAGUCCCACUUUCGACCACUAGUUCGCAUUUGUUGUGCUUCCACUCUCAAUGCACGGCGAUGGGCAUCAUCAGUACUCAAGACAUCGAACAUCUCUACUUGGUUCAGGAUGUCCCGUCUCAAGCCAUUGAUAUAUCUACUAGCAACAUGAAUGGGUCCUCCCUAAGGUUGUUUCUUGCUUGGAGCUCAUGAACUCCUAGGUGUACUCAUCCACGGUCCUACGGAGGUUUGGGAAUUUCAAGUAGAGGUUUUGGCGAUAAUCCAAUGGGACAAAUUGCUUCCCCAACUUCUCCUUCAUUUUACUCGAGGUACGGAUCUUAUCCUUACCUUGCUGAACCCUUCGUUCCUGGAGUUGCUUCUACCAAACCAGUGCGUGUCCUUUUCAUUUGAGGGUCAUAAGUUUGACCUCUUUAUCCUCAGAAAUUUUCUUCUAAUCAAAAUAUUGGUCGAUUUGUCGACCCAAUCAAGGAAAGCAUCUGGCUGGAAAUGCCCCUCAAAAUCUCCAACAUC